UUGCACUCCUUCUAGUCUGUGUACUGAGCACCCAUGAUAUGCCGGGCACGGUGCUAGAUCUGAAGGUGCUAGAUCCGAAAAAGGCAUAGUCCUUGGCCUCAAGGAGUCUAGUGGGAGGGGCCUCGUGAACACUCAAUUGCCAUAAGAGUGUGGAGGGCUGCGGUGUGCCCGGGUGCUUGGGAAUGCUGUAGCGUGGAUUCCUACUUGGUCUUCAGGGGGCCGGCACUGAAGAGAGGCUGACCAAAGAGAAAAUCAAAGUCGAGUCCUCAUGGAUGAAUAGGAGUUCCUGGGACGAGGUGAUGGUAGGAAAAGGUGUCAGUGAGCAGGUGAGGAGGGCAUUCCAGGUAGACGGUCCGCAGGAGCCAAGGUUCAAUGGCGACAGAGGAGAAACGCACCAUUUAGAACGUGUAAGCAUAAAGUGAGAAGAAAGGGGAAGUCAGGAGGUGCGAUGCCGAGCUCCGCUAAAGAACAAGUCCUGAGCGCAAUGGGGAGCCACAAAAUGGCUGAAAGCAGCAACAACAAAGACUUGGCUUUCUCACACCUGCUCCCACACGCUGGGCUGCCUGGAGAAAAGUUACCACAGCCACAGCCCGACCCGCGCUCUCUUGCCACAGACCUUUAGAAGACAGGUUUUAGCUCUGACAAGCCCCCAGCGUCAAAGGCGUUAGAUCUGCGUGCUGCACCAGCCAUGUCGGUUCCGCAUUGUUCUGCAGCGCUUUGCAGAGUUCACAGCCAAGCGUGAGCAGGGAAUGCCACCUCCCCACCCCUCCACCACUUCCUCAUUCAGACCCCGCCACCUUUAGUGUGCCGACCACCUUUUGAUCUCCAGGGUUGCCUUUGUGUCCCCGCCUGUGCUCCAGCUUCCGGGAGCCCCUUUCUGUUGAGACAUCCACAGCCGGAGCUCCUGCACCGCGGGGCUUUGCAGAGAAAGGCGGAGGGGCCAGCCCUCAACUCAGCGCUGAACGCUGGGGCGGAGGAUUUCACCUCAGGAGACGCCCUCCUUUGCCUCCCAGAUGAUUUAGAUGAAUCUACCAUAGUGCACCAGCAACAUCUAGCAUCACACUUAUGCUGUUUUUUAACCUGUGAUUUGCAUAUUGCUUCCCUUGCAAAACUGGAAACAUCUUCAAAGGAAGGGAUGCUUCUCAGUGUUUGCAUCUCCAGCGCCUAGGACAGCGUUUGCAGAGAGCAAAUGCUCAGUGUAUGAAUCCCAUUGCUUGUGAAGCUGUGAUUAUGACCCUGGUCUCCUUGGCUAUCACAGGAACCAAGCCCCACUCUGCUUUGGUGUAAGCCCAGAGUAGUUCAAGCCAAGGGUGCUCUGACGUGGACUCAGUCCCUGGCCGGUGAUGACUCAUUGCUGGGGCUUUCCCUUCCAGGGAUUCAUCUGAUAGACGGGAGCUCCUAGAAUGCCUUACCUCCCAUUGGAUGCGGGAUUCCAGCACUGCCACCAACCUCGAAGAGGAGAUGCUCUAGCCUGGGGACAAAGAGCUGAACAAAGACUUUCUCGCUGCAGAAUGUGUGACAGUGACAUAAUGAGAAAUAUAUAUUUGAUCUCCACCUCUAGUUCCUGACAUAGAGCUCCUAAAACCCUUGUAAUUUCCUGAGUGACAGGGGUGAGAGGAGCAUAUUUUGUUAUAAUUGGUCUUUAGUCCCUGGUUCCUGACACCAGACAGAGCUUCUAAGACUUUGGAAUCUCCAGAGUGGUCAGAGUGUCUUUUUGUAUGUUGAUGAGAUGACUGGUCCAGGGGCUGGAAGGCAGCUUCAGGAUAGCGGGCUGGUUGCCAGAGGAACCAGCCGUGUGAUUAGAAGGUUGGAAAUUGCAGCCCUCCUCUGCCGACCUCCAGGGAAAAAGGAGGGGCUGGAGACUAAGUUCAAUCACCAAUCACCAGUGAUUUAAUCAACCCUGUCUAUGUAAUGCUCCCUCCUUAAAAACCCUGAAAGAAGGAGUUUGGAGGGCUCCCAGGUUGGUGAAGACAUCAGGGUACUGGGAGCGCCGUGUGCCUGGAGAAGGCAGGGAAUCUUUGCUCCCCUUCCCACAUACCUUGCUUUGUGUCUGUCUUCCAUUUGACUGAUCCUG
ensembl:lncRNA